rnacentral:tRNA from 1 species
GCCUAGCUGGCUCAGUCAGUAGAGCACAUGACUCUUGAUUUGGGGGUUGUGAGUUUGAGCCCCAUGUUGGGUG